GUCCGGUUGACGAGUCUCAAAUAAGACGAGAUGCGCGUCCUGGAU
rnacentral:hammerhead_ribozyme from 1 species